CAAACUUCAAGCCCCCCUCAUGGCUUGGUGUUGGGCGUCUGUCCUCCCCCCGGGACUCGCCUCAAAUGCAUUGGCAGCCGGCACGUUGGCUUCGAGCGCAGCAGAAACGCGCGCGGCGUCCGACGGUGCCUGGCUCUCCAGGAAGCCUCCCCCCAA
rnacentral:misc_RNA from 1 species